GAGUAAUAAAAUGUUUUUAAUUCCUCUCCAAGGUCUUCAUCAGGUGAGAAGUUAAAGCUACCAGUCUGAAGUGGUUGAUUUUCCUGGGAUGCGCAGUUUUAGGUACUGGGACCAUGCACAGUCUUCCACAGGACUGGA